rnacentral:rRNA from 1 species
UACGGAGGGGGCUAGCGUUGUUCGGAAUUACUGGGCGUAAAGCGCACGUAGGCGGCUUUGUAAGUUAGAGGUGAAAGCCCGGGGCUCAACUCCGGAAUUGCCUUUAAGACUGCAUCGCUAGAAUUGUGGAGAGGUAAGUGGAAUUCCGAGUGUAGAGGUGAAAUUCGUAGAUAUUCGCAAGAACACCAGUGGCGAAGGCGGCUCACUGGCCCAUUACUGACGCUGAGGCACGAAAGCGUGGGGAGCAAACAGG